GAGAUAUGGAUAGUUUUAUAGGUGGAAAAUCUAAUAAAAUUUUGUCCUACUAAAGAAGAGAUGGAACUUCUCAAGGGUUACACAGGUGACAAGGAGAGCCUGGGAAAGUGUGAACAGGUAAGAAGCAUUAUUCAUCUUUUCUUGUCCAUGAAUGACUUUCUAUGAUUAAAGUACACAACAGUAAAAUGUUUUGAACUUAUUGAUUUAUUUUAUUAGUUUCUUACAAACUCCUUUAUUUAUUUUAAUUUCCCUCUGUUUAUUUACUUAAAAGAAAAGCAAUUUAUGUAAUAGAAACUUGGAAUUACUACUGUUGUACAUCAUUAUUGUCCAGUUGAAAUUUAGCUAUUUACUUGUCAAUUUGAGAGCAUAUAGAUUCCUUUUGAAUUCUAUCAUGGCCGGAAUAGUCCCAAAAGGUCAUUUUUUAUUUUGUUAUGUUUUUAAUAUUUCAAUAUUUUAUGGAGUUGAUGAAAGUUCCUAGAGUGGAAUCAAAAAUGCGAGUGUUCUCUUUCAAGAUUCAGUUCAACUGUCAGAUUUCAGAAUUUAAAAAGAGUUUGAACACUGUGACCUCUGCAUGUGAAGAGGUCCGGAAUUCCCUCAAAUUAAAAGAUAUUAUGAAGAAAAUUCUUUUUCUGGGUAAUACUUUGAACCAAG